AUUGAACGCCGGCGGCAGGCCUAACACAUGCAAGUCGAGCGGAUGAGUGGAGCUUGCUCCAUGAUUCAGCGGCGGACGGGUGAGUAAUGCCUAGGAAUCUGCCUGGUAGUGGGGGACAACGUUUCGAAAGGAACGCUAAUACCGCAUACGUCCUACGGGAGAAAGCAGGGGACCUUCGGGCCUUGCGCUAUCAGAUGAGCCUAGGUCGGAUAAGCUAGUUGGUGGGGUAAAGGCCUACCAAGGCGACGAUCCGUAACUGGUCUGAGAGGAUGAUCAGUCACACUGGAACUGAGACACGGUCCAGACUCCUACGGGAGGCAGCAGUGGGGAAUAUUGGACAAUGGGCGAAAGCCUGAUCCAGCCAUGCCGCGUGUGUGAAGAAGGUCUUCGGAUUGUAAAGCACUUUAAGUUGGGAGGAAGGGCAGUAAGUUAAUACCUUGCUGUUUUGACGUUACCAACAGAAUAAGCACCGGCUAACUUCGUGCCAGCCGCCGCAGUAAUAC
rnacentral:rRNA from 1 species